UCAAUCGAUACUACUUUUAUUCCUGUUAUUGACAAUUCAACCAAUUGACUUCUAAGUUUUCCUCUAUCUUAGAUUCUUGUCAGUUACAAUUCUGCUCAUAAGGUUUAACCUGCUUUCAUAAGCUAUCCACUCGACCCGGUCUUGAGUCAAUCAUACGCGGAAUACCGCACAAAACCAGGCUCAAGGUGAAGGAUGUCUCACAUGCACCUCGGCCCUAAAUCCACUCAACUGAAAUGCAACUAAAACUCAUACCAUGCAUCAAAUAGUAAAGGUUUACUAUCAUGCUAACAAAUUCGAUCCAUGUUCGAAUAAU
rnacentral:lncRNA from 1 species